UCCGUAGGUGAACCUGCGGAAGGAUCAUUGUCGAAACCAGCCCCGCAGAACGACCCGCGAACGCGUUGCACACGACACCGGGGGCGGCUCUCGUCGCCCCCAGCGUCUCGGAGCGAUCGGUCCCGUCGGGUCCGACCCCUCCGGGGCAAAACGAACAAACCCCCGGCGCGAAUCGCGCCAAGGAAUCGAAAAGAAAAAGGGGGGCACGUCUCCCGUCGCCGCACCGCCCGCGGUGCCGGUGCUUCGGGGACGGCGUCCUCCGGUCGCAAAAUAAUACAUAACGACUCUCGGCAACGGAUAUCUCGGCUCUCGCAUCGAUGAAGAACGUAGCGAAAUGCGAUACUUGGUGUGAAUUGCAGAAUCCCGUGAACCAUCGAGUCUUUGAACGCAAGUUGCGCCCCAAGCCAUUAGGCCGAGGGCACGUCUGCCUGGGUGUCACGCAUCGUCGCCCCCCUCCAACCCCGGUUGGACCGCGGGCGGAAAUUGGCCUCCCGCGCGCUCGGUGCUAGCGGUUGGCCUAAAUUCGAGUCCUCGGCGACGGCAUCGUCACGACGAUCGGUGGUAACGCCGUCCAUCGGCCGCCUCGUUCGGAGUCGUGCACGUUCGUCGAUCGGGACCCUCGACCCUCUCGGCACCGCGAGGACGGUGCUCGCAUCGCGACCCCAGGUCAGGCGGGAUUACCCGCUGAGUUUA
rnacentral:rRNA from 1 species